rnacentral:tRNA from 1 species
GCCUUCGUAGCUCAGUGGUAGAGCACUUCCUUGGUAAGGAAGAGGUCGGCAGUUCAAUCCUGCUUGAAGGCU